GGAUGUGAGGGCAAUCUGGCUGUGACAUAUGUCAGUCCACUGAUUGCCAGGGUUCAUUCAGCUGACCUGGCUGAGUAGGUAGGUGAACCCUUUCUCCCUCAUUGCUUCAUGUGCAUCCCUCCCAAAGCUGCACACUCAGUCAAAGAGAAUGACCUUCCCCAAUAGAGAAGGAUUGUCUUUGGUCAAGGAUAUAUGAGUAGCUGGUACUCCCCUGCUAGAACCUUCAAACAAGCUCUCAAGGUCAAUUUGUAGGAGAAUAUAGGGUAGUUAAACUUCCAAGACACCAGACACACCCGAAUAAGGUGCUGCAUGUACCAGUCUGCCUUUCUUU
rnacentral:snRNA from 1 species